UACAGAGGUCCCAAGCGUUGUUCGGAUUCAUUGGGCGUAAAGGGUGCGUAGGUGGCGCCGUAAGUCGGGUGUGAAAUUUCGGAGCUUAACUCCGAAACUGCAUUCGAUACUGCGGUGCUUGAGGACUGGAGAGGAGACUGGAAUUCAUGGUGUAGCAGUGAAAUGCGUAGAGAUCAUGAGGAAGACCAGUGGCGAAGGCGGGUCUCUGGACCAACACUGACACUGAUGAGCGAAAGCCAGGGGAGCAAACGGG
rnacentral:rRNA from 1 species